rnacentral:rRNA from 1 species
GACGAACGCUGGCGGCGUGCUUAACACAUGCAAGUCGAACGGAAAGGCCCUGCUUUUGUGGGGUGCUCGAGUGGCGAACGGGUGAGUAACACGUGAGUAACCUGCCCUUGACUUUGGGAUAACUUCAGGAAACUGGGGCUAAUACCGGAUAGGAGCUCCUGCUGCAUGGUGGGGGUUGGAAAGUUUCGGCGGUUGGGGAUGGACUCGCGGCUUAUCAGCUUGUUGGUGGGGUAGUGGCUUACCAAGGCUUUGACGGGUAGCCGGCCUGAGAGGGUGACCGGCCACAGUGGGACUGAGAUACGGACCAGACUACUACGGGAGGCAGCAGUGGGGAAUAUUGCACAAUGGGCGGAAGCCUGAUGCAGCAACGCCGCGUGCGGGAUGACGGCCUUCGGGUUGUAAACCGCUUUCGCCUGUGACGAAGCGUGAGUGACGGUAAUGGGUAAAGAAGCACCGGCUAACUACGUG